rnacentral:rRNA from 1 species
AAAUUGAAGAGUUUGAUCAUGGCUCAGAUUGAACGCUGGCGGCAGGCCUAACACAUGCAAGUCGAACGGUAACAGAAAGCAGCUUGCUGCUUUGCUGACGAGUGGCGGACGGGUGAGUAAUGUCUGGGAAACUGCCUGAUGGAGGGGGAUAACUACUGGAAACGGUAGCUAAUACCGCAUAACGUCGCAAGACCAAAGAGGGGGACCUUCGGGCCUCUUGCCAUCGGAUGUGCCCAGAUGGGAUUAGCUAGUAGGUGGGGUAACGGCUCACCUAGGCGACGAUCCCUAGCUGGUCUGAGAGGAUGACCAGCCACACUGGAACUGAGACACGGUCCAGACUCCUACGGGAGGCAGCAGUGGGGAAUAUUGCACAAUGGGCGCAAGCCUGAUGCAGCCAU